UCAGCCCUACGCUCUUCUCCAGGUCCAGUCCAGUCAGGCCUGAGUCGCCAACUGCUCCAUUGCAAGAGCGCUCGCCCGCGACCAGGCGCUGGAGGCGGCCGCCGGGCAGUCGCCAGGCGACACGCCGCCAUACGGACCCGCGGCCACCGCCCCUCUGACGCGUUGCGCCACUCCGCGCACACCACUUCAGCGCCAGGCCCUCAGCCACCGGCACCAGCUGCGUCCUGAACCGCAUCUGGGUAGGUCCGAGCCAAGCCUCAGCUGCUGCUGCUGCUGCGAGCGCCCCAUCCAUCAAUCCAUCCAUCCAUCCAUCCAUCCCCUGGCCUGGUUGCGUUUACUCCAGCUUGUCGAUGACGGCCUUGGUGAAGUCGGAGGUGGUGGCGUUGCCGCCCAGGUCCGCGGUGCGGUACUUGCCCUCUGUGCAAGUGGGCGGGUGGGCGGGGUUCGGUGGGAGCAAGUGAGGCUAGGUGCCGGAGCGCUCAGGGGUGUGAGCUCACGCCAUUUGCGGCCUCGCGCAGUGCCCGCACCACUCAGCAGGCAACCUAAACCCCUGCCGUCUUCAGCUGCAACCCCUGGCCC
rnacentral:lncRNA from 1 species